GGGCCCGUAGCUCAAGUGGUCAGAGCAGCGCCCUCAUAAGGCGCCGGUUCCUGGAUCGAAGCCAGGCGGGCCCACCA
rnacentral:tRNA from 1 species